rnacentral:rRNA from 1 species
GACGAACACUGGCGGCGUGCUUAACACAUGCAAGUCGAACGGAAAGGCCCUGCUUUUGUGGGGUGCUCGAGUGGCGAACGGGUGAGUAGCACGUGAGUAACCUGCCCUUGACUUUGGGAUAACUUCAGGAAACUGGGGCUAAUACCGGAUAGGAGCUCCUGCUGCAUGGUGGGGGUUGGAAAGUUUCGGCGGUUGGGGAUGGACUCGCGGCUUAUCAGCUUGUUGGUGGGGUAGUGGCUUACCAAGGCUUUGACGGGUAGCCGGCCUGAGAGGGUGACCGGCCACAUUGGGACUGAGAUACGGCCCAGACUCCUACGGGAGGCAGCAGUGGGGAAUAUUGCACAAUGGGCGGAAGCCUGAUGCAGCAACGCCGCGUGCGGGAUGACGGCCUUCGGGUUGUAAACCGCUUUCGCCUGUGACGAAGCGUGAGUGACGGUAAUGGGUAAAGAAGCACCGGCUAACUACGUG